AACUGCCUGAUUCUCAAAGAUUUCCUUUCUCUCUUCAGCUUCGCACAUCAGGAGGGAGCAGUUACACUGGAAGAGCUUUGAAGCAUGAGGACUGCUUCCUCCAUUCUCCCUUCCAGGGGUAUACUGGCCCAACAGGAGCAGAAAUGACCAUGGGAAUGCCUCCUGAGCCAUCCUAGGAAGCAUCCUGAACCAUCCAACACACAGGAAUUCAAGUGUACAUCGGGCAAUACCUGGAACCCAUAAAUGUCCUAGCCUUGCCUCUCCAUUCACAAGGUACAGUCUAACAUGGCUACCCCUCUGAGACAUUUCAACAAUGUUACACUGAGGUACAACUGGAUUAAUGCA